GUUAAAAAAACGAGCAUCUGAAAUCAUUGUAUAGUUUACGUAUCGUAAGUAAACACAUGAUCAGACAGACUAUGAUGCAAAUUCCAAAAAUUGUCUGACAUCAAAAUCUAUAUAGCUUUUUGCUCACAUGAUUUUUAGUCACCCACUUUUCUCUUCAAUUUUGUAAUCAACUGACGCUAUUUAAAAUUAACUUUUCAUUUUGUCGUUUUUGCUUCUGCUGAAUAGUCUUUCGUUUUAUUCCAAAAAAAUCAAACCGCACACACAAGUAUGGGAGAGCCAUCAAGCGGAUCUGGACAGAACAGCAGCACAACAGGACAGGCUUCUCAGUCAUCUGGUCAGUCUGGCAACACUGCAUCACACACAGGUGCCUUCAAAGACUAAUGAAGAUUAGAUUCAUGGCGUUUUGUAAAUAAAAACUGAAAUUCGAUCAUCGCAUCUCCAUGGUCUGCCAUCUAUCACAUGGGUUGAUCUCCCACUGGAAAAAUGCGCAAAACAACAGAAAAACGAUCAUCACCAUAUAUGAAAUACCAAAAUUUCAUCAUCAAUAGAACCAUCAUAUAUUGGUCGUAAUUUAGUAUUGGUUUUGCGCUUAAACAAACAACAAUUUUAGCGAUGAGUUAUCGCCGAUUUUGACAAUUCAAAAUCAUGAAGAUCGGCCCUAACAAGAUGGCUCAAACCUAUACUUUACAUAUCUAAAAUUUUCAGAUUUUUCUCUGAUUGA